rnacentral:rRNA from 1 species
CCAGACUCCUACGGGAGGCAGCAGUGAGGAAUAUUGGUCAAUGGUCGGGAGACUGAACCAGCCAAGCCGCGUGAGGGAGGAAGGUACAGAGUAUCGUAAACCUCUUUUGUCAGGGAACAAAGGCGGGGACGUGUCCCCGGAUGCGUGUACCUGAAGAAAAAGCAUCGGCUAACUCCGUGCCAGCAGCCGCGGUAAUACGGAGGAUGCGAGCGUUAUCCGGGUUUAUUGGGGUUAAAGGGUGGGGAGGCGGCGGUGUAAGCCGGGCGGAAAAGCCCGGGGCCCCCCCCCCGGCCCGCCGUUGAAACUGGCAGUCUCGAGUUGGAGAGAAGUAUGCGGAAUGCGCGGUGUAGCGGUGAAAUGCAUAGAUAUCGCGCAGAACUCCGAUUGCGAAGGCAGCAUGCCGGCUCCACACUGACGCUGAGGCACGAAAGCGUGGGUAUCGAACAGGAUUAGAUACCCGAGUA